rnacentral:misc_RNA from 1 species
AGUUUAUUAGGGAAAUUAUAGAAUACUUCCUCGUUCUUUUACAGUUUUACUUAUAUGUUUAUUUAAAUACAUUAGUUGUUGGUCCCUUAUCUAAGUCACAAGUUUGUAAUUUCAAAUUUUCUGAAAAGAUCUAAAUUUCUAUAGGCGUCUUCAUUUAAAUUCAUUGCUUGUUAAGGAUUACUUUUUGGAGUCCAAAUCCUUCAAGGUUAAGGAUUACUUUUUGAGUCUAUAAA